rnacentral:rRNA from 1 species
CGCUGGCGGCGUGCUUAACACAUGCAAGUCGAACGAGAAUCUGUGGAAAGAGGAUUCGUCCAAUUGAAGCAGAGGACAGUGGCGGACGGGUGAGUAACGCGUGAGGAACCUGCCUUUCAGAGGGGGACAACAGUUGGAAACGACUGCUAAUACCGCAUAACAUAUAGAUGUCGCAUGGCAUUUAUAUCAAAGAUUUAUCGCUGAAAGAUGGCCUCGCGUCUGAUUAGCUAGUUGGUGAGGUAACGGCCCACCAAGGCGACGAUCAGUAGCCGGACUGAGAGGUUGAACGGCCACAUUGGGACUGAGAUACGGCCCAGACUCCUACGGGAGGCAGCAGUGGGGAAUAUUGGGCAAUGGGCGCAAGCCUGACCCAGCAACGCCGCGUGAAGGAAGAAGGCUUUCGGGUUGUAAACUUCUUUUGUCAGGGACGAGUAGAAGACGGUACCUGACGAAUAAGCCACGGCUAACUACGUG